rnacentral:rRNA from 1 species
CACGCCGUAAACGUUGGGCACUAGGUGUGGGGUCUAUUCAACGGACUCCGUGCCGUCGCUAACGCAUUAAGUGCCCCGCCUGGGGAGUACGGCCGCAAGGCUAAAACUCAAAGGAAUUGA